GAGUAAUGUCUGGGAAACUGCCUGAUGGAGGGGGAUAACUACUGGAAACGGUGGCUAAUACCGCAUAACGUCGCAAGACCAAAGAGGGGGACCUUCGGGCCUCUUGCCAUCAGAUGUGCCCAGAUGGGAUUAGCUAGUUGGUGAGGUAACGGCUCACCAAGGCGACGAUCCCUAGCUGGUCUGAGAGGAUGACCAGCCACACUGGAACUGAGACACGGUCCAGACUCCUACGGGAGGCAGCAGUGGGGAAUAUUGCACAAUGGGCGCAAGCCUGAUGCAGCCAUGCCGCGUGUAUGAAGAAGGCCUUCGGGUUGUAAAGUACUUUCAGCGGGGAGGAAGGUGUUGUGGUUAAUAACCGCAGCAAUUGACGUUACCCGCAGAAGAAGCACCGGCUAACUCCGUGCCAGCAGCCGCGGUAAUACGGAGGGUGCAAGCGUUAAUCGGAAUUACUGGGCGUAAAGCGCACGCAGGCGGUCUGUCAAGUCGGAUGUGAAAUCCCCGGGCUCAACCUGGGAACUGCAUUCGAAACUGGCAGG
rnacentral:rRNA from 1 species